UAUUCAAAAUUCAGAAGAAUUACGCGAGGGGGCCCUAAAACCAGUUAGAAAAAGCCCGGGCCCGCUUACGGAAAGUAGAAAUAGAAGCGAAUCAGUUUCGAAUGACUGGAUACUCUGAAAUAGAGUCGAGAAAAAUUAAAUUUGAUUAAUGCAACUUCUAAGACUUUGGAACAGUUAGAAAAUUACAAAAAAUGAAACCAUUCAUUUUGAACAACAAAGAGCAAUUAAUCAAGUUCGACAACGGGUUUUUCAACAAGCCUUACAGGGGGCUUUAGGAACUCUCAAUAGUUGUUUGAACAACGAAUUACAUUUACGUACCAUCAGUACUAAUAUUGGCAUGUUUGGAACGGUGAAAGAAAUAACGGAUUAGUCCUUCUACUGCAGGCAUUAUUUUUUUCUUUCAAAAAAAAAAGAAAUACUCAUGGUAACCCUUCGAGCAGAUGAAAUUAGUAAUAUUAUCCGCGAACGUAUUGAGUCAAUAUAACCGAGAGGUAAAGGUUUUAAAUACGGGUACUGUGCUUCAAGUAGGAGACGGCAUUGCUCGUAUUUAUGGUCUUGAUGAAGUAAUGGCGGGUGAAUUAGUAGAAUUUGAAGAGGGUACGAUAGGAAUUGCUCUGAAUUUGGAAUCAAAUAAGUGUUGGUGUUGUAUUAAUGGGUGACGGUUUGAUGAUACAAGAGGGGAGUUCUGUAAAAGCAACGGGAAGAAUUGCUCAGAUCCCAGUAAGCGAGGCGUUUUUAGGUCGUGUUGUAAAUGCACUGGCUAAACCUAUCGAUGGUCGGGGUGAAAUUUCAUCCUCUGAAUCCCGGUUAAUUGAGUCUCCUGCUCCUGGUAUUAUUUCGAGACGUUCCGUAUACGAGCCCCUUCAAACAGGACUUAUUGCUAUUGAUUCGAUGAUCCCUAUAGGGCGCGGCCAGCGGGAAUUGAUUAUUGGGGACAGACAGACCGGUAAAACAGCAGUAGCUACAGAUACGAUUCUCAAUCAACAAGGGCAAAAUGUAAUAUGUGUUUAUGUAGCGAUUGGUCAAAAAGCAUCGUCUGUGGCUCAGGUGGUGACUGCUUUACAGGAAAGGGGGGCAAUGGAAUACACUAUU